rnacentral:misc_RNA from 1 species
GCAAACUUGGUCAUUUAGAGGAAGUAAAAGUCGUAACAAGGUUUCCGUAGGUGAACCUGCGGAAGGAUCAUUAACGAAUUGCGUUCGGGGUUGUUGCUGGCUCUAAUCGAGCAUGUGCACGCCUCGCAUCCACUUCAACCACACCUGUGCACUUCAGAGGACCGCUCGGUCCUCUUUACACACACAAACCUUUACAUUGUCAUAGUAGAACGUCAUGUAUUAAAACAAAUACAACUUUCAACAACGGAUCUCUUGGCUCUCGCAUCGAUGAAGAACGCAGC